UACGGGGGGUGCGAGCGUUGUCCGGAAUCACUGGGCGUAAAGGGCGCGUAGGUGGCCUGAUAAGGGUGUGGUGAAAGUCCGGGGCUCAACCCCGGAUCUGCCGUGCCGACUGUUAGGCUAGAGUGCUGUAGGGGCAGGCGGAAUUCCGGGUGUAGCGGUGGAAUGCGUAGAGAUCCGGAGGAAGACCGGUGGCGAAGGCGGCCUGCUGGGCAGAUACUGACACUGAGGCGCGACAGCGUGGGGAGCAAACAGG
rnacentral:rRNA from 1 species